GACGAACGCUGGCGGCGUGCCUAAUACAUGCAAGUAGAACGCUGAAGGAGGAGCUUGCUUCUCUGGAUGAGUUGCGAACGGGUGAGUAACGCGUAGGUAACCUGCCUGGUAGCGGGGGAUAACUAUUGGAAACGAUAGCUAAUACCGCAUAAGAUUGACUAUUGCAUGAUAGUCAGUUAAAAGGUGCAAUUGCAUCACUACCAGAUGGACCUGCGUUGUAUUAGCUAGUUGGUGGGGUAACGGCUCACCAAGGCGACGAUACAUAGCCGACCUGAGAGGGUGAUCGGCCACACUGGGACUGAGACACGGCCCAGAGUCCUACGGGAGGCAGCAGUAGGGAAUCUUCGGCAAUGGACGGAAGUCUGACCGAGCAACGCCGCGUGAGUGAAGAAGGUUUUCGGAUCGUAAAGCUCUGUUGUAAGAGAAGAACGAGUGUGAGAGUGGAAAGUUCACACUGUGACGGUAUCUUACCAGAAAGGGACGGCUAACUACGUG
rnacentral:rRNA from 1 species